AUUGAACGCUGGCGGCAUGCCUUACACAUGCAAGUCGAACGGUAACGCGGGGCAACCUGGCGACGAGUGGCGAACGGGUGAGUAAUGUAUCGGAACGUGCCCAGUUGUGGGGGAUAACUGCUCGAAAGAGCAGCUAAUACCGCAUACGACCUGAGGGUGAAAGCGGGGGAUCGCAAGACCUCGCGCAAUUGGAGCGGCCGAUAGCGGAUUAGGUAGUUGGUGGGGUAAAGGCUCACCAAGCCAACGAUCGGUAGCUGGUCUGAGAGGACGACCGGCCACACUGGGACUGAGACACGGCCAGACUCCUACGGGAGGCAGCAGUGGGGAAUUUUGGACAAUGGACGCAAGUCUGAUCCAGCCAUGCCGCGUGCGGGAAGAAGGCCUUCGGGUUGUAAACCGCUUUUGUCAGGGAAGAAACGCUCUGGGUUAAUACCUCGGGGUAAUGACGGUACCUGAAGAAUAAGCACCGGCUAACUACGUGCCAGCCGCCGCGGUAAGAC
rnacentral:rRNA from 1 species